rnacentral:rRNA from 1 species
CGACUAAGCGUACACGGUGGAUGCCCUGGCAGUCAGAGGCGAUGAAGGACGUGCUAAUCUGCGAAAAGCGUCGGUAAGGUGAUAUGAACCGUUAUAGCCGGCGAUGUCCGAAUGGGGAAACCCAGUGUGAUUCGUCACACUAUCGUUAACUGAAUACAUAGGUUAACGAGGCGAACCGGGGGAACUGAAACAUCUAAGUACCCCGAGGAAAAGAAAUCAACCGA